AACGAACGCUGGCGGCGUGCCUAACACAUGCAAGUCGAACGGGAAAACCCGCAAGGGUGAGUACAGUGGCGCACGGGUGCGUAACACGUGGGUAAUCUGCCCAGAAGCCCGGAAUAACUCCCCGAAAGGGGUGCUAAUGCCGGAUGAGACCACGGGGACUUCGGUUCCUGGGGGAAAAGGUGGCCUCUGUAUACAAGCUAUCACUUCUGGAUGAGCCCGCGGCCCAUCAGCUAGUUGGCGGGGUAAUGGCCCACCAAGGCUACGACGGGUAGCUGGUCUGAGAGGACGAUCAGCCACACUGGAACUGAGACACGGUCCAGACUCCUACGGGAGGCAGCAGUGGGGAAUCUUGCGCAAUGGGCGAAAGCCUGACGCAGCAACGCCGCGUGUGUGAUGAAGGUCUUCGGAUCGUAAAGCACUGUCGGGAGGGACGAAUAAGGGCCGGGUGAACAAUCCGGUUCGACGACGGUACCUCCAGAGGAAGCACCGGCUAACUCUGUGCCAGCCGCCGCCGUAA
rnacentral:rRNA from 1 species